rnacentral:lncRNA from 1 species
AUCUGCGUAACCGAAAAAAAAAAAUGAAAUAAUUUUUGUUAUGUAAUCAUAUUAUAUAUUUAUAAUGAUUAUUUAUGCACAUUGCUAAGCUAACUUUUUUACGUAUCUACAUCAACAAUGUUAUAGUACUAGGGCACUUGCAUGCACAUUAAUCGAACAUGUAUUAAAAAAAACUCAACUUUUUUUGUGAACAUACAUUCUCUAAACAAUAACUUUUUCCUAUUUAUAUACACCUCCGAACUUGUGUCCGUUGUCUAAACGUUUUAGUGAACUAGAAAACAAAAGUAUGUUAUUGACAAAGGAAUGAUAUCUUGAAACCUAAAACCAUAUUUAAAUUCAGAUUCGACACACAGAUCUGAAUACUUUGUGUAAUGCCGUAAGAUAUACGUUUCUUAUAGAAGAUUCAAGUUCAAAUUAAAAUGAGAGGGAAAAUAGCAUACCCAUUAUAAGUGGAGUGAGUUUAUCAUAUGGAACAAGUGUAGCCCGGAGGUGGAUUUUUGCCACAGGUAAGGAGAAGCUGAAGAGCAACAGGGACGUAAAGAUUGAGGUCAAGAGCUUUGAGCUUGAGGGUAGUGCAAAGACAAGCCGCGGCUUCGACUUCAACGAGGCCUUUAAGUAACGGACAACAUUUGUUAACUGCUGGAUCCCCAAGCCCUAUCUUU